GAUGAACGCUGGCGGCGUGCCUAAUACAUGCAAGUCGAGCGAACAGAUGAGAAGCUUGCUUCUCUGAUGUUAGCGGCGGACGGGUGAGUAACACGUGGGUAACCUACCUAUAAGACUGGGAUAACUCCGGGAAACCGGGGCUAAUACCGGAUAAUAUUUUGAACUGCAUGGUUCAAUAGUGAAAGACGGUUUCGGCUGUCACUUAUAGAUGGACCCGCGCCGUAUUAGCUAGUUGGUAAGGUAACGGCUUACCAAGGCGACGAUACGUAGCCGACCCGAGAGGGUGAUCGGCCAAACUGGAACUGAGACACGGUCCAGACUCCUACGGGAGGCAGCAGUAGGGAAUCUUCCGCAAUGGGCGAAAGCCUGACGGAGCAACGCCGCGUGAGUGAUGAAGGUCUUCAGAUCGUAAAACUCUGUUGUUAGAGAAGAACAAAUUUGUUAGUAACUGAACAAGUCUUGACGGUACCUAACCAGAAAGCCACGGCUAACUACGUGCCAGCAGCCGCAGUAA
rnacentral:rRNA from 1 species